GAUGAACGCUGGCGGCGUGCCUAAUACAUGCAAGUCGAGCGAACGGACGAGAAGCUUGCUUUUCUGAUGUUAGCGGCGGACGGGUGAGUAACACGUGGAUAACCUACCUAUAAGACUGGGAUAACUUCGGGAAACCGGAGCUAAUACCGGAUAAUAUUUUGAACCGCAUGGUUCAAAAGUGAAAGACGGUCUUGCUGUCACUUAUAGAUGGAUCCGCGCUGCAUUAGCUAGUUGGUAAGGUAACGGCUUACCAAGGCAACGAUGCAUAGCCGACCUGAGAGGGUGAUCGGCCACACUGGAACUGAGACACGGUCCAGACUCCUACGGGAGGCGGCAGUAGGGAAUCUUCCGCAAUGGGCGAAAGCCUGACGGAGCAACGCCGCGUGAGUGAUGAAGGUCUUCGGAUCGUAAAACUCUGUUAUUAGGGAAGAACAUAUGUGUAAGUAACUGUGCACAUCUUGACGGUACCUAACCAGAAAGCCACGGCUAACUACGUG
rnacentral:rRNA from 1 species